rnacentral:rRNA from 1 species
CACGAAACUUAAUGAGCUAACUAUUGCACGCGGGAGGCAAUAUAUGUGACAUAAUAAAUAAUUAGCAAUAGUUAGGGGUGAUAGGCUUAACAAAUUAAGUGAUAUCUUGAUUUUCUUGAAAGGUAUUAAGUACUAGAGACAGACCUUAAGUUAUAAGGCUUAAGGUAAUGAUUAAAGAUUGUAUAUUGCUGUUGCCAUGUUUAACCACUAGUACAAUAACAGCGGAGUAUUGAAGUAGUGAGGGUUAUAUUAUAAUAGAGAAAAGUGAUUAAUUAUACUUAACAUUUAAAAUGUUGAUAUGAGUAUUUAUAGAGGUAAAAAUAAUGAACUCGGCAACGAGUCUUUCGACUGUUUAUCAAAAACAUAGCCGGAUGUAAUUUUAUUUGGUGUUUUCUGCUCAAUGAUAUAUUAAAUAGCCGCAGUACCCUGACUGUGCAAAGGUAGCGCAAUCAAUUGGCUUUUAAUUGAAGUCCUGUAUGAAGAAUUUACGGAAGGCGACUGUAUCAUUUUUAUAAUAAUAAGUUACUGAUUAGGUGCAAAGACCUAUAUUUAAAUAAUAGACGAGAAGACCCUAGAAAUUUUAAGAAUAUGUUAAUAAGUCUUUUUGUUGGGGCAACAUAGUAGCAUAACCUACAUAAAAGACAUGUAAUUGUUUAGAAUGAUUAAAUUACUCUAGGGAUAACAGCAUAAUUUGAUAGAGUUUGUGACCUCGAUGUUGGACUAGGAAGUUGAUGUUUAGAA